rnacentral:rRNA from 1 species
CCUACGGGAGGCAGCAGUGGGGGAUAUUGCCCACUGGGGGGAACCCUGAUGCAGCGACGCCGCGUGGGUGAAGAAGCGCCUCGGCGCGUGAAGCCCUGUCAGCAGGGAAGAAAAUGACGGUACCUGAAGAAGAAGCCCCGGCUAACUACGUGCAAGCAGCCGCGGUAAUACGUAGGGGGCAAGCGUUAUCCGGAUUUACUGGGUGUAAGGGGGGCGCAGACGGCGAUGCAAGCCAGGAGUGAAAGCCCGGGGCCCAACCCCGGGACUGCUCUUGGAACUGCGUGGCUGGAGUGCAGGAGGGGCAGGCGGAAUUCCUGGGGUAGCGGGGAAAUGCGUAGAUAGCAGGAGGAACACCGGUGGCGAAGGCGGCCUGCGGGACUGCAACUGACGUGGAGGCCCGAAAGCGUGGGGAGCAAACAGGAUUAGAUACCCUGGUAGUC